CGGUGUUUAACUGGCGUGAUGUGGGACGUCCUACCGGUGGGCUUAGCCUCGCGAGGGGCGGCCCAACUAAUAUCCCGUCGCGGUGCUCUUUACUGAGUGUCGAGUCGGGCCGGUACGUUUACUUUGAACAAAUUAGAGUGCUUAAAGCAGGCUAUCCUCGCCUGAAUACUGCGUGCAUGGAAUAAUGGAAUAGGACCUCGGUUCUAUUUUGUUGGUUUUCGGAACCCCGAGGUAAUGAUUAAUAGGGACAGAUGGGGGCAUUCGUAUUGCGACGUUAGAGGUGAAAUUCUUGGAUCGUCGCAAGACGGACAGAAGCGAAAGCAUUUGCCAAAAAUGUUUUCAUUAAUCAAGAACGAAAGUUAGAGGUUCGAAGGCGAUCAGAUACCGCCCUAGUUCUAACCAUAAACGAUGCCAGCUAGCGAUCCGCCGAAGUUCCUCCGAUGACUCGGCGGGCAGCUUCCGGGAAACCAAAGCUUUUGGGUUCCGGGGGAAGUAUGGUUGCAAAGCUGAAGCUUAAAGGAAUUGACGGAAGGGCACCACCAGGAGUGGAGCCUGCGGCUUAAUUUGACUCAACACGGGAAACCUCACCAGGCCCAGACACCGGAAGGAUUGACAGAUUGAUAGCUCUUUCUUGAUUCGGUGGGUGGUGGUGCAUGGCCGUUCUUAGUUGGUGGAGCGAUUUGUCUGGUUAAUUCCGAUAACGAACGAGACUCUAGCCUGCUAAAUAGGCGUACCUUAUGGUAUCGCGAAGGCCCCCGGCUUCGGCCGGUGGGUUUUUACUACCAACGUACAAACAAAUCUUCUUAGAGGGACAGGCGG
rnacentral:rRNA from 1 species